UUGUUAGUCAGUUUAUGAUUUCCCUGUUUUUAGGAGUUGUUAUUUACUUUGAAUUAGUCUAUCAUGUUGUUGUUAGGAAGUGUUAGUAGUGGUUUGAAUAACGUGGGUUAUUUCUUGAUUUCAGUUUCUCAUAUGUGUAAGGCUAUAUAUUAGCCAAGCAGCCCAAGCUGUUUCUUUCAAUUUCCUUAUCUUUCACAUACUUGUUUUGGUUCUCAAGUCUCAACACACCGUUCCUUUGCGUCCGAUCCCAAGUUCGACCAGGUCAUGUUGCUGCCGCCUCGUGUUCUCGAAUCUCUGAGUGUUGAGAGGAAGAUGAGGCACUAUGAAAGGAUGGAGACCGUGAACAAGAAUGACAUCGCCUUCGCGGCGACAUGGAUUUGGACGAGUGGAUCUCUAAGGUCAGAGAUGGACAACACCUUCUCGAAGAACACUUUCAACUUCUCUGCGAAUAUGUAUGUUUACUAUGAUUGCAGAUAUGUCUCCACCCAUUGAGACUCCAAACAAGGUUCCCAACAUCAACCUCUUAAUGAGAGGAUUCUUUCAUCCAUGGCUAGGAGAUCUGUUGCUGCACACCCUUGGCAUGAUCUAUAGAUAGAACAAAGAAACAGAAAGAAUUUGUUGAGGUUCCUCAGUUUGAGAUCAAAGCCUUAUAUUAUUUGGAAAUACAAGCAUCAAGGAGUUUCUCUUCAGGUUCUUAGUUUAUCUAUUGAUCUAAUUUUUGUGUUCCACUUAGUUCAAUUAAUUGCUUGCUUCUUUCGUUUAAAAAAAAAAGGAUUUUCUUAUCAGUCAUAAGCAUACUUUUGUUAAAGAAUUCCUUUAUUUAAAACUAUCAUUUAAUAUCCUUAAUUUCAUGUCUCAUGGGAAUAUGAUGCAGUCAUAUGCAUGUCUAAAGGGCCAAAAUGAACACGCUCCAUGAAAUUUGUGUGAGACUUA